UGGGCUGCAUUGGAGCCGGGGCCCGCGGAGCCGCGACCUGACAGUACCAGAGUUGAAGGAGCCGGGACGCGCAAAGGCGCGUGGAACCCGGGAGGGGACCGGUGCCUGCGAACGGCCCGAGCAAGGUGGACUGAACUCUAAGAUUAAUCCUUCCGGAGAAGAUUAUAUUCUUGCUCUUAAGCCUGGUUUACAUAGUUCCCACUAAUCUUCAGAGAAGUCACCUCAGAGAGCAAACUUUGCACCAGUCGCUCUUUUCCGUCCUCCUUUCAAGGUUUGUGUGCACCUGAAGCGUCCCCCUGUUGGUUGGUUCUGAGGAACUCGGGAAGUAACCUGCGGGAAUGAACGGCGCUGAGCACCAUAGUGCCCGUAUAUGAGUGGACACAAGAUUUGUGACACUUACAUCGUCAAGCUUAUUUCGGUUGAUCUGUACAAUAUUUUGUCCCCCAGAAGAACCCUUGAGUAUUUUCCACGAUGGAUCACGCCUGACUGAUAGGAAGUGUUCAAUAAAUGUGACUCCAAAGAGCUCAUGUGUUAGGCAAUGGAGAAAUGUUCAGAGGCGAAAGGAUUGGAUUAUGAGAACUGUAAAUAAAAGUGAAUAUAGUGCAGCAAGGAA